rnacentral:lncRNA from 10 species
CGCCGUGGAUCCCCGCCCAGAGUCCCUGCCACCCUGGAAAGCCUAGUGCCCCCCAGUCCCCAGCGGGCCGUUUUCUGAGAUGCCCGGUGGCCGCGGCCCCCACCCCACGUACCCCCGCCCCACGUACCCCCACCCGCAGGCGUGAACAUCGGGGGCGCGGGCUCCUACAUCUACGAGAAGCCCCUGGCGGAGGGGCCGCAGGUCACCGGCCCCAUCGAGGUCCCCGCGGCCCGAGCAGAGGAGCGGAAGGCGAGCGGCCCCCCGAAGGGGCCCAGCAGAGCCUCCAGUGUCACCACUUUCACCGGGGAGCCCAACACGUGCCCGCGCUGCAGCAAGAAGGUGUACUUCGGUGAGUGCGCGCCCGGGCCCCGGACCCCCGCCCCCGCCCCCGCCCCGGGGCUCGGCCUCACUCCUCCCCCUUUCCAGCUGAGAAGGUGACGUCUCUGGGCAAGGAUUGGCACCGGCCCUGCCUGCGCUGCGAGCGCUGCGGGAAGACACUGACCCCCGGCGGGCACGCGGAGGUGAGGGGAGUGCAACGGGGCUUGGGGGCCGGGCAGGGGCGCGGGGUCGGGGGGAUGAGGGUGAGAGGCGCGCC